rnacentral:rRNA from 1 species
UAGCAAUACAGUCAAGUUGGAGUGGCGCAAGGGUGCGUAACACGUGGGUAAUUUGCCGUGAAGUUGGGGAUAACUCGCUGAAAGGCGAGCUAAUACCGAAUGUGAAUGUCGGAAGGCAUCUUCUGAUCUUCAAAGUUGGGGACCGUAAGGCCUGACGCUUCACGAUAAGCCCGCGGCCUAUCAGCUAGUUGGUGAGGUAACGGCUCACCAAGGCUAAGACGGGUAGCUGGUCUGAGAGGACGACCAGCCACACUGGAACUGAGACACGGUCCAGACACCUACGGGUGGCAGCAGUCGAGAAUUUUUCUCAAUGGGCGAAAGCCUGAAGGAGCGACGCCGCGUGGGGGAUGAAGGGCUUCGGCUCGUAAACCCCUGUCAUUUGCGAACAAACCUUUUCACCUAACACGUGGAGAGCUGAUUGUAGCGAAAGAGGAAGGGACGGCUAACUCUGUGCCAGCAGCCGCGGUAAUACAGAGGUCCCAAGCGUUGUUCGGAUUCACUGGGCGUAAAGGGUGCGUAGGUGGCAGGGUAAGUUUGAUGUGAAAUCUCCGAGCUUAACUCGGAAACUGCAUUGAAUACUAUCCUGCUCGAGGGUUGGAAGGGGGACUGGAAUUCUCGGUGUAGCA